UACGUAGGGUGCGAGCGUUUGUCCGGAAUUAUUGGGCGUAAAGAGCUCGUAGGCGGCUUGUCGCGUCGGAUGUGAAAGCCCGGGGCUUAACUCCGGGUCUGCAUUCGAUACGGGCAGGCUAGAGUUCGGUAGGGGAGAUCGGAAUUCCUGGUGUAGCGGUGAAAUGCGCAGAUAAUCAGGAGGAACACCGGUGGCGAAGGCGGAUCUCUGGGCCGAUACUGACGCUGAGGAGCGAAAGCGUGGGGAGCGAACAGG
rnacentral:rRNA from 1 species